rnacentral:misc_RNA from 1 species
AACGCAGCAUGCACCCCCGGGGCAACCCGCGGGUAUGUCUGCCUGGGUGUUUUGGUCCAACCCGUCGUGCAUGGGUCUCUUGCCCCGGUUAUCCGCGGCGUGUGUGCGCUGGAGCCAGCGUCAAUCCAAGGGUCGAGCAGUGUGCAAACCACCACUAGCAGACAGCGCCAGACACAACCCCAGGUCAGAUAAGACCACCCGCUGAACUUAA